UACGUAGGGGGCUAGCGUUGUCCGGAAUCAUUGGGCGUAAAGCGCGUGUAGGCGGUCCAGUAAGUCCGCUGUGAAAGUCACAGGCUCAACCUGUGAAUGCCGCUGGAAACUGUCUGGCUAGAGUCCGGAAGGGGCGAGUGGAAUUCCUGGUGUAGCGGUGAAAUGCGCAGAUAUCAGGAGGAACACCUAUGGCGAAGGCAGCUCGCUGGGACGGUACUGACGCUGAGGCGCGAAAGCGUGGGGAGCGAACAGG
rnacentral:rRNA from 1 species